UAGACACUUGUCCCAGGGGGUGCCAGC
rnacentral:piRNA from 1 species